UACGGAGGAUCCAAGCGUUAUCCGGAUUUAUUGGGGUUAAAGGGUGCGUAGGCGGCCUGUUAAGUCAGGGGUGAAAGACGGUAGCUCAACUAUCGCAGUGCCCUUGAUACUGAUGGGCUUGAAUACACUAGAGGUAGGCGGAAUGUGACAAGUAGCGGUGAAAUGCAUAGAUAUGUCACAGAACACCGAUUGCGAAGGCAGCUUACUAUGGUGUCAUUGACGCUGAGGCACGAAAGCGUGGGGAUCAAACAGG
rnacentral:rRNA from 1 species